UCCUGACAGCAACAGCUGACUUAACCCAGACAGGAGAAUUACAAUG
rnacentral:ncRNA from 1 species